CAACGGUUACAUCUAACUUUUCCAUUUUCAUCAAUUAGGUUUGAAUCAAAACAUCAAAUUCAACAGGAACCGCGAACGCGAUUCACCCACCUCCCAGAUAAAAAGAGGAAUUACACGGCAUUUCUCCAUAGACACAUGGGAAUCUCCUGUUGUCCUACAAACAUAAAACCAAAGAAAGAUACACAAUGCACAAACCCUCUACUUCACGGUUUGCAAUAGGAGCCAUACACAUCUUUGGGAACAUAUGUAUAAGUAUAAUUCGUGAAGCACCAAAUGCAGACUUGGUGAGAGGUCCUUGGAAAUUAAAGUUACAGUCCAUAAUUGUCGAAAAGGAACUAUUUUUUGGCUUUGUUGGAAACUUGUUAAGAUUGUUGUACAUUUUAUUUUUCUAGCGAUACUAAAUCUCCUCGGCAAGAUAUCUCCAAGUUUGCUUUUAUUACUCCCUAUCAUCACUCCUGUGAGAAAAGGAGCUAAAUCAUUGUGUUGUUCAACAUUAAGAUUCUCCCUCAGAAGAAUCUUCCUUCCUUCGUCAGUUUUGAUUAGCAUCAGGAUUUUGGGAAAUGCAUGUUGCUUAACGGUACUACAUGGAACAUUACCAAUAGCAACUCUUAAAGUGUUUGAGACAACAGUGAAUUAUUGUACAUGUAUUUAACAAAUUUAAAAAAUAAGUAAAAUUUGUUUUGAAUAUUAGAUUCAUACAUCAGCAGUGAAAUCUGGUUAUAGUCCUUCAAGAUAUUGUACUUAAUUAUUAACAUAUUUAUUGAGUAAUUAUUUGUAAACAAUUUUAUGUUAAGAGCUGUGAAUUGAACACAUUGGUAUACAGAACAGGACGGGACAUAAGGCUAAAAUGAAUCCAGAACAUUCUUUAGAAUUUCCUUUGAAAAGGGAAACUGAAGGUGCAUUAUCACUACCUUCCAUAAAUCAAGAAAACAGCAACUUGGCUGCCUUUAGUGGAACCAGUGAUGGAGACUUUUUGUCUCUGGAUCCAUUGAUGGACAUCAAAAUAGAGCCAGAGGAAUUCUAUGAGUCUAAUGAAGAUGAUGACUAUUCAUAUGAAAUGAAUUCAACAGUGAAUGAAAAACAUCCACAAACUUGCAAAAAGGAAGUAAAACAAGAAAGAAGAAAUAUUCACAAUGGAGAGAAGCCUUUCAGAUCAACUGACUGUGAGAAAGCAUUUUACAAGAAAAUUAAUCUUACAAAUGAUAUCACAAAUCCUACCAGCAAUAAAUUCAUAUGCAAUGACUGUGGGAAAGCAUUUUCCUUGAAACAUAAUCUUAUAGUUCAUAUGAGAAUCCAUACUGGAGAGAAGCCAUUCAUUUGUAAAGAAUGUGGGAAAGCAUUUUCCCGCAAAACACAACUUACACUUCAUAUGAGAUUUCAUACUGGAGAGAAUCAUCCAUUCAUAUGCAAGGAAUGUGGGAAAGGAUUUGCCUACAAACAUCAU